rnacentral:rRNA from 1 species
GUUGAACGCUGGCGGCAGGCCUAACACAUGCAAGUCGAAUGGUAACAGGAAACAGCUUGCUGUUUCGCUGACGAGUGGCGGACGGGUGAGUAAUGUCUGGGAAACUGCCUGAUGGAAGGGGAUAACUACUGGAAACGGUAGCUAAUACCGCAUAACGUCGCAAGACCAAAGAGGGGGACCUUCGGGCCUCUUGCCAUCAGAUGUGCCCAGAUGGGAUUAGCUAGUAGGUGGGGUAACGGCUCACCUAGGCGACGAUCCCUAGCUGGUCUGAGAGGAUGACCAGCCACACUGGAACUGAGACACGGUCCAGACUCCUACGGGAGGCAGCAGUGGGGAAUAUUGCACAAUGGGCGCAAGCCUGAUGCAGCCAUGCCGCGUGUAUGAAGAAGGCCUUCGGGUUGUAAAGUACUUUCAGCGGGGAGGAAGGGAGUAAAGUUAAUACCUUUGCUCAUUGACGUUACCCGCAGAAGAAGCACCGGCUAACUCCGUG